rnacentral:rRNA from 1 species
ACACGACUACAUUAGAUACCCGCGUAGUCCUAGCCGUAAACGAUACUCGCUAGGUGUCGGCCACGGUGCGACCGUUGUCGGUGCCGUAGGGAAGCCGUGAAGCGAGCCACCUGGGAAGUACGGCCGCAAGGCUGAAACUUAAGGAAUUGGCGGGGAGCACCACAACGGGUGGAGCUUGCGGUUUAAUUGGAUUCAACGCCGGAAAUCUUACCGGGACCGACAGCAACAUGAAGGCCAGGCUGAAGACUUUGCCGGAUUAGCUG